AAAAUACUCUUUUUGUUCGGAAAUACUUGUCGGAGAAAUAGAUAUAUCUAGACAUAUAUUAGUUCAGCUACAUUCUUUUUUAUUUAUUUCUCCGACAAGUAUUUUCGAACGGAGAAAGUAUGUU
rnacentral:pre_miRNA from 1 species